GUAGUCAUAUGCUUGUCUCAAAGAUUAAGCCAUGCAUGUCUAAGUAUAAGCAACUUUGUACUGUGAAACUGCGAAUGGCUCAUUAAAUCAGUUAUAGUUUAUUUGAUGGUUUUUGCUACAUGGAUAACUGUGGUAAUUCUAGAGCUAAUACAUGCAUUCAAGCCCCGACUUCUGGAAGGGGUGUAUUUAUUAGAUAAAAAUCAACUUUGUUGGUGAAUCAUAAUAACUUCUCGGACCGCAUGGCCUCGUGCUGGCGGUGCUUCAUUCAAAUAUCUGCCCUAUCAACUGUCGAUGGUAGGAUAGAGGCCUACCAUGGUUGCAACGGGUAACGGGGAAUGA
rnacentral:rRNA from 1 species